ensembl:lncRNA
CCCCCCCCACCCCGAGGAGAACCUCAGUUCCCAUGGUUUUCACUUUCUCCCCAGAUCUCCAGGAUCUGGCUUGGCUCCUCCUUGACCUGUAGUGUGACGUUCCCGUUGUGAGGGGGAAACAAAAGAGGACUAACAAAGGGGGCACUUAGGGGUUAGGUGUCUUGCUCAGGGACACUUUGACAUGGGACAUGGGGCAGCCAGGACUCGAACCACCAACCUUGUGGCUCCCAGCGCACCCUCUCUACCCCUGCGCCACGACGACCCCGCAGCAACAAAUAUUUGAUGUUAUUAUUACAUUCAUAUAGCCACAGUACAUCAACAAAGCUACAGCGGUCAGUUCUCAAUGUCUGGCAUUCACUGGGACAGACAUCCUGGGAAAGUAGACGUACUUUUCAAAAACUACAACACAACACAAUGCGGCUAUUCUUGAUAAGCACAGAAAAUAAGCCCGGUGGCUUUGCUGGUCAUUUCCUGUGACCUGGGAACCGCCGGAGGGAAGCAUGCUGGUAAAGGACCGCAGCGAAAAAGGGCCCGACUCCGUGAUAAGAGAAGGGACGGA